rnacentral:rRNA from 1 species
CCUACGGGAGGCAGCAGUGGGGAAUCUUGCGCAAUGGGCGAAAGCCUGACGCAGCAACGCCGCGUGCGGGAAGAAGGCUUUCGGGCUGUAAACCGCUUUCAGCAGGAACGAAAAUGACGGUACCUGCAGAAGAAGGAGCGGCCGACUAUGUGCCAGCAGCCGCGGUGAUACAUAGGCUUCAAGCGUUGUCCGGAUUUAUUGGGCGUAAAGAGUUCGUAGGCGGUCAAGUAAGUCGGGUGUGAAAAUUCUGGGCCCAACCCAGAGACGCCACCCGAUACUGCUUAACUUGAGUUCGAUAGGGGAGUGGGGAAUUCCUAGUGUAGCGGUGAAAUGCGCAGAUAUUAGGAGGAACACCGGUGGCGAAGGCGCCACUCUGGAUCGAUACUGACGCUGAGGAACGAAAGCAUGGGUAGCAAACAGGAUUAGAUACCCUGGUAGUCCAUGCCGUAAACGGUGGGCACUAGGUGUGGGUUUCUAUUAACGAAAUCCGCGCCGUCGCUAACGCAUUAAGUGCCCCGCCUGGGGGAGUACGGUCGCGAGACUAAACUACAAGAAGUAGACGGCGUGAGACGUGCCGACGACGACGACGAGGGAGUAGG